ACUUCAUUAAAUAAGAAUGGAAAGAAAAUUGCUAAUAAUGCCUCUCCUAUAUAUGCUAACUGAAGAACGGUCUUAAAAUAGCAUCUAGCAUUAAACUGUCAUAAAAGUGGAUUAAGUGGUAGUAAUAUUCAAGCGAAUAGAUACACCACCUUAACCUUGUUGAGAGGGCAUUAGUCUACAUGUUAUUUAUUUGUAGAUAAUCUACUGGAGAAGGAAGUAUUAGUCCAGUCUUGUUUUUAAAAUCCCGCUGAUGAGUUACCCCUGCCCAUCCAGAGAGGAAGAAGCAGCAGUAAUGUAAUGGAAAAGGAGAGAUGCAGCUGCCCAGCCUUUCUCCAUCCGUCAGACACAAAAUAUGGACAGUUCACCCUUGGACCAUUUAACUGUCUCUUACCUUUUGUACCAGAGAGGUUUGUUCUGCGCUUGCUGUGAUCCAUGAGACUGCAGCUUGUCUUUAAAGAACUUUUGGAAGGCAUCAGUAAAAGGCACAGUCAGGCAGAAAUCUGAAUGGCUCCAAUCUGAGCUCACUUUGUUUGUGAGCUGAUCAGGAACGUGGUGCCACAUACCGGGGCUGCUGGUUGUUGCCUCACAUAAUGCAGGUAGCACAUGACAGGAGGGCGAACAAUGUUUUCAACCUGUGAUACCUAAGAACAUCUAUAACCCGCGUUGCUUUCUAGGGGGAUUUUUCUAAUUCAGGGACACCAGCUCUAGGCAAGGUUUGUGAAUUCAACAGUGCCUCUCCUAGGCAAGAAUGUGUACGAGCUUGUUUGUGGAACAAGAGCUACAGAUACAGAGAAUACAUCAGACGGAGUAAAAUGUGGCUCUUGUGAGAAAGUUGUGUAAGAGAAGGAAGUAUUGUGGAAGAUUUUUCUCCAUGUAUCCUCAUGGCUGGCAUACAUCCUCAGGGAUGACUCUAAGCUUCCCCAGGGCUUUGCACAGCUUGAUUAGCUGAUCAGCCUCACAGCAGUGUCUGGGGAGGAAUCAGUGGUCUCAGCUGGGCUCUCUGGCUGCUGGUGGGAUGGGGCCCCAGGGCACCAGGGGGUAGGAGGGAAAUUGGUAGAGUGCUGUGGGGGGUAAGAGGAGGCAGGUGCUUCCCAGGGCGACCUGUUCAUUCAGCUGGCUUUGAGCAGCCUACCUCAGAACCAGGCAGAGGCGAGGAGAGCACCAGGGGGCCAGAGCUGACUUCAAUCUCCCUCAGUUUGCCACCUCAACAAAAUAUUUCUGCUUAUUAA
rnacentral:lncRNA from 1 species